GCCAGUGCAGUGGUUAGUGCGUCCCUUCAAAAAGGUAGAGCGCGGGUUCAAUUCCCGCCGGAGGUU